CCAACGUGGGCAUCCGGAGAAGUCGCUCUCUCCAGGCUCUGUCCGUGUGGCGCAUGGGAGCGUAGGCCCCCGGGCCCGUGACGUAUGGUCCCGUUCCACGCCGUUGGAGAACAAGCUGGGCCUCGAGCCUGCAGCCUGCAUAUUCCUACUGCUUCUCUGAGCCCUUGGGCCUUGACAGAGGAGAUAAACCAUGCAGGAAACAAGC
ensembl:snoRNA SNORA73 Small nucleolar RNA SNORA73 family